UACAGAGGGGGCAAGCGUUGUUCGGAAUUACUGGGCGUAAAGGGCUCGUAGGCGGCCAACUAAGUCACACGUGAAAUCCCCAGGCUUAACCUGGGAACUGCGUGUGAUACUGGAUGGCUUGAAUUCGGGAGAGGGAUGCAGAAUUCCAGGUGUAGCGGUGAAAUGCGUAGAUAUCGGGAGGAACACCAGUGGCGAAGGCGACUACCUGGCCUGUUCUUGACGCUGAGGCGCGAAAGCUAGGGGAGCAAACGGG
rnacentral:rRNA from 1 species